rnacentral:tRNA from 1 species
GGGCCGUUAGCGCAGUUGGUAGCGCGCCUCUAUGGCAUAGAGGAGGUCGCCGGUUCAAAUCCGGCACGGUCCACCA